rnacentral:rRNA from 1 species
UACGUAGGAUCCGAGCGUUGUCCGGAAUUAUUGGGCGUAAAGAGCUCGUAGGCGGUUUGUCGCGUCUGCUGUGAAAUCCCGAGGCUCAACCUCGGGCCUGCAGUGGGUACGGGCAGACUGGAGUGCGGUAGGGGAGAAUGGAAUUCCUGGUGUAGCGGUGGAAUGCGCAGAUAUCAGGAGGAACACCGAUGGCGAAGGCAGUUCUCUGGGCCGUAACUGACGCUGAGGAGCGAAAGCGUGGGGAGCGAACAGG